rnacentral:rRNA from 1 species
UACGUAGGGCGCAAGCGUUGUCCGGAAUUAUUGGGCGUAAAGAGCUCGUAGGCGGUUUGUCGCGUCUGCUGUGAAAACCUAAGGCUCAACCUUGGGCUUGCAGUGGGUACGGGCAGACUAGAGUGCGGUAGGGGUGACUGGAAUUCCUGGUGUAGCGGUGAAAUGCGCAGAUAUCGAGGAGGAACACCGGUGGCGAAGGCGGGUCUCUGGGCCGAUACUGACGCUGGAGGAGCGAAAGCGUCGGGGAGCGAACAGG